rnacentral:lncRNA from 1 species
GGGAGUCUCUGGCGCUGCGCUUGGCAUCAGUGGCCGAGAAAACUGUGUAGACAAGAACAAAGGUGCCAACGAUCUCAGCACCAAGCCCUGAUCCCUUGGUGUAGCCAUGGGCUACAGAGUUGGCCCCGCCACCAAGCAACUCGAAGUUGCGGCUCUUCUCGAAGCCCUUCACCACCGCCGCACCGGCGAUCGCCCCAAGCGUCUGCAUCACGAUGUAGAAAACCGCCCUUGUCAGCGACAGCUUCCGGGCCAAAAACAGCCCGAACGUCACCGCCGG